GACGGAGGGUGCUAGCGUUGUUCGGAAUUACUGGGCGUAAAGGGCUCGUAGGCGGCCAACUAAGUCAGACGUGAAAUCCCUCGGCUUAACCGGGGAACUGCGUCUGAUACUGGAUGGCUUGAGUUCGGGAGAGGGAUGCGGAAUUCCAGGUGUAGCGGUGAAAUGCGUAGAUAUCUGGAGGAACACCGGUGGCGAAGGCGGCAUCCUGGACCGACACUGACGCUGAGGAGCGAAAGCCAGGGGAGCAAACGGG
rnacentral:rRNA from 1 species